UACAGGGGGUGCAAACGUUGCUCGGAAUCAUUGGGCGUAAAGCGCACGUAGGCGGUCUGUUAUGUCGGAUGUGAAAGCCCUUGGCUUAACUGAGGAAGUGCAUCCGAAACUGGCAGGCUAGAGUACUAAAGAGGGUCGCGGAAUUCCGGUGUAGAGGUGAAAUUCGUAGAUAUCGGGAGGAACACCGGUGGCGAAGGCGGCGACCUGGGUAGAUACUGACGCUGAGGUGCGAAAGCGUGGGGAGCAAACAGGG
rnacentral:rRNA from 1 species